AUGGCGUCAGGAUGAACGCUAGCGGCAGGCUAACACAUGCAAGUCGAGGGGCAGCGCGGGUAGCAAUAUCUGGCGGCGACCGGCGAAAGGGUGAGUAACGCGUGAGCAACAUGCCCGACACUGGAGGAUAGUCAUUGGAAACGAUGCGUAAUACUCCAUAACAACAGAGGCCGCAUGACCUUUGUUUUAAAGAUUCAUUGGUGUCGGAUUGGCUCGCGUACCAUUAGCUAGUUGGCGGGGUAACGGCCCACCAAGGCGACGAUGGUUAGGGGUUCUGAGAGGAAGGUCCCCCACAUUGGAACUGAGACACGGUCCAGACUCCUACGGGAGGCAGCAGUGAGGAAUAUUGGUCAAUGGCCGAGAGGCUGAACCAGCCAUGCCGGACCGUGCGGGAGGACGGCCCUAUGGGUUGUAAACCGCUUUUGUAGGGGAGCAAUAAGUAUUACGUGUAAUACGAUGAGAGUACCCUGCGAAUAAGCAUCGGCUAACUCCGUGCCAGCCGCGGC
rnacentral:rRNA from 1 species